AUCUAGGCUCAUUGCGACCUCCACCUCCCAGGUUCAAGCGGUUCUCCUGCCUCAGCUUCCUGAGUAGCUGGAAUUGCAGGCACCCACCACUGCACCUGGCUAAUUUUUUGUAUUUUUAGUAGAGACGGGGUUUCAUCAUGUUGGCCAGGCUGGUCUCAAACUCCUGACCUCAGGUGAUCCACCCACCUCAGCCUCCCAAAGUGCAGGGAUUACAGGCAUGAGCCACCGCGCCCAGCCAUUGUGUUUUGUUCCUUGUGGGGAUGCACAUCCCUCUUCCAACCUGUGGCUACUGCUCUUGGGGUCCUGUUGCUGGGGGCCCUGCAGUAGACUCCACACAGGUCCUCCUGCCUCCUGGGCCCUCCUCAGAGCCUCCACAGGCUGCAGACUCCACUCCCCAGAUGGAGGUCUGAGCCCGGCACCCUUCCUGCAAACCACUACCUCACAAAAAAGACAAGAAUCCUACACCCCCAACCCAGACCCCUUCCUGGCAGGUCCUCAGGCUGGGCAUGGGCAGAGCAAAGACAGACUUGAGGAGGUAACCAGGGUGAAGGCAAACACUGGGCCAAAACCAGUGGGCAUCCUGAUGUGUGGAUUCCAAAGGGACCAGGCGAGCAGGGAGCAGUACUGAUGUCAGGGAGGCCGGAGGGAGACAGAGGAAGCCCGUAAUCAGGGAGCUUGGGAGCUGCCUGCUGGGCAGGGAGGAGCUGUGGACACCAAUCGGGCACUCUCAAGCCCUUCCCAGCCUGGCUGUCUCCCUCCUCUGGCCCUUCGGUGUUUCCCUUGGGAGUGGUGUGGGUCCCUACCUGGACUCAUCCUGAGGAAGCUGCCUCCUGGAGCAGGCAGGAUGCUGGAGCUCCGUGUGGCCGGCCCUGGUUCUCUGCGAAGCCGCUCCUGAGAGCCUGCCUAGUGCAGAAGUGCCCCGAGCUGGCUGCUCUUCCUGCCUAAAACGGGGCACUGAGCACAGGAGCCUCUGGAUCUGAUCCCCUGCCUGUUUUUGUACGGCUCUCAAGCUAGGAAUACCUUUUACAUUUUUAAAUGAUUGAAAAAAAAAUCCAAGUAAUCAUGGUGUUAAAAUGAUAUGAAAUUUGAAUUUCAGUGUCCAUAAAUCAAGUUGGGACACAGCUUCUCUCAUUCAUUUACAGUUGUCUAAGUUUCUGUCACUCUUCGGCAGCAGAGGUGAGCAGCCAAAACAGAGACUGCAUGGCCUGCAAAGCCUGAAAUAUUUACCGGCUGCUCUUUACAGAAAGAGUUGGCCGUUCACUACCCUGGAGUGUGGACCUCUGGGCGAGGAACCUGUAUCCGUAGCGCUGCCUUGCACGUCCAGGCUCACAGAUAUUCAUCCAAAAGAAAUAAAAAUAUAUGCCUAUAAAAGCCUUGCACAAGAAUGGACACAGAAGACUUAUUCAUUAAAGCUCCAAAGAGGAAACGGCCCAGGGGAAUAUCAACAGGCAAAUGAAGAAACAAAGUGUGAGGCAACCUCCCGUCACUCAACAGGUGGCUGAGGGACCCCCGCACCAGGGCAGCACCUGCUGGACUUGGGUUCACCAGCGAACGAGCAGGUCUGAUGCUCCUCUCAGGGUCUAAGCCGAAUCCAAGAAUCUGAUGAGUGUGAAGACACUGGAAGAACCUGAUCACGCAGGCUCCUUUCUCAAGCACCCCGAUGCCCGCAGGUGAAGGGGCACAUGCCAAGGACAAGCCCGCCUCAGCCCUGGACAUCGUUCAUCGCGCGAGUGAGCAAUGCUUGAGUGAGAAACCUGACAGCGGUGUCCCCAUAACUUCCACCGCCUCUGGAGCCACCCGGCAAAAGCCAGCGUCUGACAAUCCUUCAGUAAUAGUGAAGACACCUGUUAUAUUGCUGUCCAGCCAAAAGCUCCUUGUUGCAGGAUGAACAGCCCCAGUUGUUUCAAACAUGCCCCACAUCUCAUGGCCUCCACACAGGUCGUAUUAAACACCUCUAACAGAGACUGCACGCCAAGUGUGGCUCCUCAAAGACCUUGCCUGGGGACUCUGCCACUGAUGGCUGCGACCUGCACACUCCUGAGAGCUCCUUCCUGGAACUGCCUCAUUUCUCUCAUCAUCCUUGAUUUUUUGAGAUGGAGUCUCAGUCUUGCUCUGUCACCCAGGCUGGAGUGCAGUGGUGCGAUCUCUGCUCACUG
rnacentral:lncRNA from 1 species